rnacentral:lncRNA from 1 species
AGUACCUACGAUGGCUGUUUUACGACUUGAACUGUCUCCACGUUCACAUCUGAGCAGCAAGCCCUUGAGGUCUGGGCGGGGAAGGGGAGAAUGUCCAUGGUGGAGGAGGAGAGCUGGGAGACUUGUCUGGAAGCUGUAUUUGCAUAUGUUAUGGAGAAUAGUAGCCCCCUCAACUGGAAAACAUGGGAAUUGGAGAGGAAUGUGGCCAGUGUCCUGGUGGCGGCCGCCUGGUGAUCGCUAAGAGAGCUUCGUGUUGAGUAUUUCCUGUAUCAUCAUCACCACAUAACUGAAGCUGGACUGUUUUGCCUGUUCUUUGAAAACUGGGUUUUUAAUUUUAAAAUGACUGCCUUUCAGCAAUGGCAUUAACAUCGUGAGAAAGCAAACAGAAUGAUUCACGGAAAUGCCUUUUCCCGGCUUUCUCCCCUGACACCAGCGUGCGGGCUCCUUUCCCACCAUCUUAGAGGCACUGGGAGGUUGUGAAGGAUUUUCUCUCCAGCGUGCGAGGACUCCGCCUGAGACUUAGGACGCCCGCUCUCCCCGGGCGCCUCUCCCCGCCUCUGAUGGAUUAACACCAGCCCCGGGCGGUGGGAGGCCUGCGGGUGGGGCCGAGCCCCCGCCCUCCGCCUGUCCCGGCGCUGUGUCUCCUCGCAUGCAACAGUCUGUCGUGACACCAGCCAGGCGCAGCCAGCACCUCGCGGGGCCGCGUCCCCGGCCCGCGCGCUCGGCUCCUCCUCCUGCCGGCGACUCUCCCGGCGGGGACCAGGCGGCGCCCGCACUCGCCGCGCCCGGGCGGCUGGCGCUGUCCCGCCGGAUCAGGCCAAGGAGCCCCCGAGUUAGAGGAGAGCCGCCGGCCCCGGAAGGAAGGACAGGUGCCUUAGCUUAAAGUCCCCAAGUGUGGGCGCCGGGCCCUGAGGAAGCCAGACAUGCUGCGGCUGGACGCAGGGCGCUGAUGAUCCGCCGGCUCGGCAGCACCAUGCCU